UACGGGGGGUGCGAGCGUUGUCCGGAAUCACUGGGCGUAAAGGGCGCGUAGGUGGUCUGAUAAGGGUGUGGUGAAAGCCCGGGGCUCAACCCCGGGUCGGCCGUGCCGACUGUUAGACUAGAGUGCUGUAGGGGCAGGCGGAAUUCCGGGUGUAGCGGUGGAAUGCGUAGAUAUCUGGAGGAACACCGGUGGCGAAGGCGGCAUCCUGGACCGGUAUUGACGCUGAGGCGCGAAAGCCAGGGGAGCAAACGGG
rnacentral:rRNA from 1 species